GGACUGGAAAAGGUCAGUUUUCAUUACAAUCCCAAAGAAAGGCAAUGCCAAAGAAUGUUCAAACUACCACAUAAUUGAACUCAUCUCACAAACUAGCAAAGUAAUUCUCAAAAUUAUCGAAGUCAGGCGUCAAGAGUACGUGAACCGUGACAUUCCAGAUGUUCAAGCUGGAUUUAGGAAAGAACCAGAGAUCAAAUUGCCAACAUC